rnacentral:rRNA from 1 species
CCUACGGGAGGCAGCAGUAGGGAAUCUUCCACAAUGGGCGAAAGCCUGAUGGAGCAACGCCGCGUGAGUGAGGAAGGCUUUCGGGUCGUAAAGCUCUGUUGCCAGGGAAGAAUAAGGGCGUGUUAACUGCACGCCUGAUGACGGUACCUGAGAAGAAAGCCCCGGCUAACUACGUGCCAGCAGCCGCGGUAAUACGUAGGGGGCAAGCGUUGUCCGGAAUUAUUGGGCGUAAAGCGCGCGCAGGCGGUUCUUUAAGCCUGGUGUCUAAGUGCGGGGCUCAACCCCGUGAUGCACUGGAAACUGGGGAACUUGAGUGCAGAAGAGGAGAGCGGAAUUCCACGUGUAGCGGUGAAAUGCGUAGAGAUGUGGAGGAACACCAGUGGCGAAGGCGGCUCUCUGGACUGUAACUGACGCUGAGGCGCGAAAGCGUGGGGAGCAAACAGGAUUAGAUACCCUGGUAGUCCACGCUGUAAACGAUGAGUGCUAGGUGUUGGGGGUUAGUCAUGCCUCGUGCGACGUACGACAUAGCACNCCGCCGUGGGUAAGGUACGGUCGCGAGACGUUAGUUAAACGUUAAAGUUAGAGUUAGACGGCGUUGAGACGUUGCCGACGGACGACGACGAGGGAGGAGG